rnacentral:rRNA from 1 species
UACGGAGGGAGCUAGCGUUGUUCGGAAUUACUGGGCGUAAAGCGCGCGUAGGCGGCUUUGUAAGUCAGAGGUGAAAUCCCGGGGCUCAACCUCGGAACUGCCUUUGAUACUGCAAAUCUCGAGUCCGAUAGAGGUGGGUGGAAUUCCUAGUGUAGCAGUGAAAUGCGUAGAGAUCGGGAGGAACAUCAGUUGCGAAGGCGGCUCUCUGGACCAGCACUGACACUGAGGCACGAAAGCGUGGGGGAGCAAACAGG